rnacentral:rRNA from 1 species
UACGUAGGGUGCGAGCGUUAAUCGGAAUUACUGGGCGUAAAGCGUGCGCAGGCGGUGAUGUAAGACAGGUGUGAAAUCCCCGGGCUUAACCUGGGAACUGCAUUUGUGACUGCAUCGCUGGAGUGCGGCAGAGGGGGAUGGAAUUCCGCGUGUAGCAGUGAAAUGCGUAGAUAUGCGGAGGAACACCGAUGGCGAAGGCAAUCCCCUGGGCCUGCACUGACGCUCAUGCACGAAAGCGUGGGGAGCAAACAAG